rnacentral:misc_RNA from 1 species
CAGAGUUACAAAACUCCCACAAACCAUCGCGAAUCUUACCCGUACGGUUGCCUCGGCGCUGGCGGUCCGGAAGGCCCUCGGGCCCCCCGGAUCCUCGGGUCUCCCGCUCGCGGGAGGCUGCCCGCCGGAGUGCCGAAACCAAACUCUUGAUAUUUUAUGUCUCUCUGAGUAAACUUUUAAAUAAGUCA